CCGCUUGACCUUCGGUUUCUUUGAGCGCCUAUAUUCUCUCUGCGCCUCACGACCUCUGCAUUUAUGGAGCACUAAUACUAUCUACAGUCCACGCCAACAAAAUAGAAUCUGCCAUUGCCAAGCUUAGCCGCUACGUUCCUCGAGCACGUCCCCUUCCCUUGUUUCCGCGCCAAUGGAGGCUUGGAGGAAGGCCACCCUGUGCCGUGCCCUCCUGGUGCUCCUCGUCGUCGCCGGCGGCGCGGCGGUGUCGACGGCGCAGGGCGACCACUGCUGGAAGGACGACGACCACCACCCGAUCUGCGUCACCGACGACUGCCAGAUGACCUGCAAGGAUCACGGCCACGAGGACGGCCGCUGCAACUGGACGUGGGGGCGCCUGCUGCCCCACUGCCAGUGCCAGUUGGCGAACUGCAACUAGACGGGGCCUGGCCGGCGCGGCGAUUGCCUCGUCGGCCUCUCGACGAGCGGCGAGCGGCGCCCGAGCGGCGGCCUCGCGACGAGCUGCCUGGUGCCCCUGUGCCGCGCUACUGCCAUGCCAUCACAGGCACGUAAAUUAUCCUGUAGCCCUUGGACGCAUCUUAAUUUCUUGUGUCAGAGUAUUGGUGUUAGUAUUCAGAUUUAAUAAUAAUUCUGGAAGUUAUACGGCUCAACAUGAGAGCUGGGAAAUAACAAUCAAUGACUGUUAGUGGAAGGCGUCUGAAAGAAAACGGUUUGCAAACGUUGAUCUCGAUUCAAAGUCAGUUGUUUGUACUGGAGUCUUUGAUUCUGCUGCUAGACUGUAAACUUUUUUA